rnacentral:rRNA from 1 species
GAUGAACGCUGGCGGCGUGCCUAAUACAUGCAAGUCGAGCGAACGGACGAGAAGCUUGCUUCUCUGAUGUUAGCGGCGGACGGGUGAGUAACACGUGGAUAACCUACCUAUAAGACUGGGAUAACUUCGGGAAACCGUAGCUAAUACCGGAUAAUAUUUUGAACCGCAUGGUUCAAAAGUGAAAGACGGUCUUGCUGUCACUUAUAGAUGGAUCCGCGCUGCAUUAGCUAGUUGGUAAGGUAACGGCUUACCAAGGCAACGAUGCAUAGCCGACCUGAGAGGGUGAACGGCCACACUGGAACUGAGACACGGUCCAGACUCCUACGGGAGGCAGCAGUAGGGAAUCUUCCGCAAUGGGCGAAAGCCUGACGGAGCAACGCCGCGUGAGUGAUGAAGGUCUUCGGAUCGUAAAACUCUGUUAUUAGGGAAGAACAUAUGUGUAAGUAACUGUGCACAUCUUGACGGUACCUAAUCAGAAAGCCACGGCUAACUACGU